GCUCAUUUGGUAUGACUAUUAUCUCAUUCAUAAAUAGCAACUGUUAGAUACUAGUCACACGUCACAGUCUUUAUAUCUAAAUCUCAGAUUUCACCACUGCAGUAGCCAAAACCAAUUUGAAGCUUCUGCCAGUUCAGCUUUAUGCUAGCUGCUUAUCCAGAACUACAAAUAUGGAAAUCUCAUGCAUAAUGUGCAAGUUAAAUUAGAACGGGAAAGAAUAGUCAUCUGGUAAGCUUUCACAUCUAAAUUCUGAAGAAAACCACAACAAAAUAUGUAUCUGUAUAUUUUAAAUGUGCAGUAAAAUAU
rnacentral:lncRNA from 1 species